rnacentral:rRNA from 1 species
AUGUCAUUUUAUGCAAGAAGAGGUGGAGAUAGGGGUAGUGAGCGUUUUCAAGGAGGAGGACGAGGUGGAUAUGCCAUGCGUGGGAGAUCAGGGUUUCCUCCUCGAGGACCACUUGGGAUUAACGCUCGACCAUCUGCACGCAUUAUUGCUAAGUCUUUUAGCAGAACCAAAGACAUGACCUGGAGACCUGAUCUAUUUAGUGAUAGUAUGGCGGCUAGUGGAAUCGAAACUGGUACAAAAUUGUACAUUUCAAACUUGGACUAUCGUGUUUCCAAUGAGGAUAUAAAGGAGCUGUUUUCAGAAGUUGGUCAUUUGAAACGCUUUGCUGUUCACUUUGAUGGUUAUGGUCGCCAAAAUGGCACAGCGGAGGUGGUAUUUACAAGGAGGAGUGAUGCAAUUGCUGCAUUGAAACGUUAUAAUAAUGUUCUGCUUGAUGGAAAAUCUAUGAAGAUUGAGGUCAUUGGAAGUGACCUGGGUUUGUCUAUGACACCUCGUAUAAAUGUUGUCGGGGCAUCUAAUGGUAGAGCUACGAGAACGGUUGUUAUGACGCCUGAAACGGGUCGGCGUGGUGGUGGUUCCAGCACUAGGCCUUUGAGUAAUCCUACCACCAGGUUGAAUCGUGGUGCAUUCCAAGCUGGACGUGGUGCUUUCCAAGCGGGACGAGGCGGAGGCAGGGGCUAUGCUCCGUCACAGGCUCAGUUCCAGGGCCGAGGCAGGGGCCGCGGUCAGUUCCGGGGCCGGGGCCGCGGUCGGGGCAGGAAGGGGGCAGAGAAAAGCGCAGAUGACCUGGACAAAGACCUGGAAUCCUAUCAUGCGGAGGCAAUGAAGACCGACUGA